rnacentral:lncRNA from 1 species
AUGUUCAUAUUUUUAAACCUGGAGAGAAGUGGGGAGAUGAAGGGGGACAAAAGAGGGGGAAGUUUGUUAAUUUACAUGUUCUAUUCAGGACUCAGACUAAUUGUCUUCCCCAUUCCCAGCUGCCCCCCUCAAAUCAUUUCUUACAGGAGUUGCUUUUAUUCAUUCUCAUGUCCUAUUCUUUUCAUUUUUGGAUUAAAAUCUACUUGUUUAGUAUCUACUGCGGAGCAAAAAUGUGACCAUGCUCUUUCUGUCUUGUCAGAGGGUCAGAAGCAGCACAGGAUUCCUAGACAAGGAGCGCGGGGACCUGGCUACGCUGUCCCCGGCCUUUGCAUUGUGCUCUCCAGAAAGGCUGCACUUGGUCACAGUUUCGUUAGCAUGGCAUUCGAAUGCGGCCUCCUUGGAUUCUGGCCAGCACUGGGCACUGCUGCUGUCUUCGAGCCACUAGUUCUCAAUCUGGGGCAUGGCUUUGAAGAGAAGGUUGCUAAGCCUCCUCAACCCCAAUGCACACCAAUGCCAUUUCCCCACUCAUCUGGAAACCUGGUGGGUCCUGGCCAAACGCCUGUAUGUCAAUUCCACCUCCAACUUGGCUGCCUACCAUGCCAACAUUUUCAUCUCAAGCCUUUCAGAUCUGCUUUGGGCACCCGAAGACAGAGUGAAUCAUCUUUCAAGGGUCAGACACUUAGCACAUGGCCUUCCCUCUGCUUAGAAUGCUUUUCCCUCUUUCCCAAUUGCCUUUUAUUAUCAGCCUAAAAAAUAUUUAUUUCUGUCCCUAAAAUCUCAGAUAUUACUUCUCCAGGUGCUUUCCCAGACCCCUCACUUUAUUCCAGAAGGAGCUACCACCACUUUUGCCUGGCGAGUACGUUUUCACAGUUACACUUAUACGCUACAGCAACUUAUUGGUGAUUUGUCUGUCUCCCUUACUCAACAGUGAAUUAUUCACCUAUCCCUGGAAACCUGGAACUACUCAAUAAAUGUUUGUGGCAUGAAUAUACAUAUACGCUCUUCUGCCUUUCAUUUUUUUACAUACCCUUCAAGGCCUUGCUCAGCCAUCACCUCCUUUUUCCUGGAUUCACUUCCCUGUAGAGUUAAUCAUGCCUCUGUGUUCCCAUGGCACUUUGUAUGUGAUUUCAUUAAAAACUUGCCUGCUGAAAAACCGAAGACAUCAGCUUGAUAUAAGAGAAAAAAACCUUGCCAAAUUGCCUCAUAUUUCCUUAUCAGCCUAUCUGGGGCUACCAUGUUGCACAACUCUGGGACACGAUUCACAUUAAAUCAAGCAAAGCAGAGAUGGCACCUGUACUUGCCCACUAGGCAGUGAAAUUCUGCAGA